AGUGAGCGCUGGCGGUAGGCCUAACACAUGCAAGUCGAACGGCAGCACAGUAAGAGCUUGCUCUUACGGGUGGCGAGUGGCGGACGGGUGAGGAAUACAUCGGAAUCUACUUUUUCGUGGGGGAUAACGUAGGGAAACUUACGCUAAUACCGCAUACGACCUACGGGUGAAAGCAGGGGAUCUUCGGACCUUGCGCGAUUGAAUGAGCCGAUGUCGGAUUAGCUAGUUGGCGGGGUAAAGGCCCACCAAGGCGACGAUCCGUAGCUGGUCUGAGAGGAUGAUCAGCCACACUGGAACUGAGACACGGUCCAGACUCCUACGGGAGGCAGCAGUGGGGAAUAUUGGACAAUGGGCGAAAGCCUGAUCCAGCCAUACCGCGUGGGUGAAGAAGGCCUUCGGGUUGUAAAGCCCUUUUGUUGGGAAAGAAAAGCAGCAGGUUAAUACCCCGCUGUUCUGACGGUACCCAAAGAAUAAGCACCGGAUAACUUCG
rnacentral:rRNA from 1 species